AUGCUCACUUCAGCAACACAUAUGCUAAAAUUGGAAAGAUAGCGAGAAAGAUAGUAUGGCUCCUGCAGAGGGAUGACACACAAUUUCAUAAAGCAUCCCACACACAC